rnacentral:rRNA from 1 species
CUACGGGCUGCUCCAGGCAGGAAACCUUUACAAUGCACGGAAGUGCGAUAAGGGAAACCUAAGUGCUUGCCUACGGGUGAGCUUUUGUCAAGUGUAAAAAUCUUGACGAAUAAGUGGUGGGUAAGACCGGUGCCAGCAGCCGCGGUAACCCCGGCGCCACGAGUGGCAAUCAUAUUUAUUGGGCCUAAAGCGUCCGUAGCCGAUCUAUUCAGUCCUUUGUUAAAUCGUUCAGCUUAACUGAGCGGCUGCAAGGGAUACUAGUAGGUUCGGGAUCGGGAGGAGUCAGAAGUACUCUUUGGGUAGCGGUAAAAUGUUAUAAUCCUUAGAGGACUACCAGUGGCGAAGGCGUCUGACUAGAACGAGUCCGACGGUGAGGGACGAAAGCUAGGGGAGCAAAAGGGAUUAGAUACCCUUGUAGUC